rnacentral:rRNA from 1 species
UACGUAGGGUGCGAGCAUUAAUCGGAAUUACUGGGCGUAAAGCGUGCGCAGGCGGUCUGUUAAGACAGAUGUGAAAUCCCCGGGCUUAACCUGGGAACUGCAUUUGUGACUGGCAGGCUAGAGUAUGGCAGAGGGGGGUAGAAUUCCACGUGUAGCAGUGAAAUGCGUAGAGAUGUGGAGGAAUACCGAUGGCGAAGGCAGCCCCCUGGGCCAAUACUGACGCUCAUGCACGAAAGCGUGGGGAGCAAACAGG